CACUCCUGCGGGAGGCAGCAGUGGGGAAUUUUGGACAAUGGGCGAAAGCCUGCUCCAGCAAUGCCGCGUGAGUGAAGAAGGCCUUCGGGUUGUAAAGCUCUUUUGUCAGGGAAGAAACGGUGAGAGCUAAUAUCUUUUGCUAAUGACGGUACCUGAAGAAUAAGCACCGGCUAACUACGUGCCAGCAGCCGCGGUAAUACGUAGGGUGCAAGCGUUAAUCGGAAUUACUGGGCGUAAAGCGUGCGCAGGCGGUUUUGUAAGUCUGAUGUGAAAUCCCCGGGCUCAACCUGGGAAUUGCAUUUGAGACUGCAAGGCUAGAAUCUGGCAGAGGGGGGUAGAAUUCCACGUGUAGCAGUGAAAUGCGUAGAUAUGUGGAGGAACACCGAUGGCGAAGGCAGCCCCCUGGGUCAAGAAUGACGCUCAUGCACGAAAGCGUGGGGAGCAAACAGGAUUAGAUACCCCAGUAGUCCCAUGAU
rnacentral:rRNA from 1 species